CGAAAGGGCGGAGUAACCAGGGAAACCUCCAAGCACACCUGAGAGGCCAGUAAGACCUGGGUAUCCUCCAUACAGUCCGGACAAGCCACUAAGUCCAGGAUACAAUCCUGAAAGCCCUGGGUAACGCGCAAGAAGUCCUAGAGGUCCGGAAAGCCCACUCAGGCUUCCCAAGGAACCUGGGUAUCCACUAUACAAGCCAGAAAGUCCUGUCAAACCAGGGUAUCCUGCGAGAAGUCCAGACAGGCGUCCGAGGCCUGGGUAACUUCCAGAGAGACCUGAAAGAGCAAGUGAGCUUCCGUAAAGGCCGGAAAGUCCUGGAUAACGUCCAAGAAGUCCUAGGGGUCCUCCAAGUCCCCCGAGAGCUCCUACAGAACCUGGGUAGCCUAGUGAGCCAAAACCACUUAUGUGGGAGUAUCCCCAUGGGCUAGAAAGGCCAAGAAGACCCGAGGAGCGGGAAAAGUAACUGCUGGAGCCGGGAUAGCUUCCGUAUGCUGCCGAAAGGGCGGAGUAACCAGGCAAACCUCCAAGCACACCUGAGAGGCCGGUAAGACCUGGGUAUCCUCCAUACAAUCCGGACAAGCCACUAAGUCCAGGAUACAAUCCUGAAAGCCCUGGGUAACGACCAAGUAGUCCUAGAGGUCCGGAAAGCCCACUCAGGCUUCCCAAGGAACCUGGGUAUCCACUAUACAAGCCCGAAAGUCCUGUCAAACCAGGGUAUGCUCCCAGAAGUCCAGACAAGCGUCCGAGUCCUGAGUAACUUCCAGGGAGACCUGAAAGAGCAAGUGAGCUUCCAUAAAGGCCGGAAAGUCCUGGGUAACGUCCAAGAAGGCCUAGGGGUCCUCCAAGUCCUCCGAGAACACCUCCUAGAGAUCCUGGGUAGCCGUGUGAAC
rnacentral:lncRNA from 1 species